UACGGAGGGUGCAAGCGUUAAUCGGAAUUACUGGGCGUAAAGCGCACGUAGGUGGUUUUCUAAGUCAGCUGUGAAAUCCCCGGGCUCAACCUGGGACUUGCAGUUGAAACUGGAAAGCUAGAGUAGGGUAGAGGGGUGUGGAAUUCCAGGUGUAGCGGUGAAAUGCGUAGAUAUCUGGAGGAACAUCAGUGGCGAAGGCGACACCCUGGACGUCAUACUCGACACUGAGGUGCGAAAAGCGUGGGGAGCAAACAGG
rnacentral:rRNA from 1 species